AGGUAGUACCUUAUGAACGUCCUGUACUAAGCAAGACUUACCUUUUUCCUGAGUCCCCUGCUAGACUUCCUGGUUUCCAUGUUUGUGUUGGAAGUGGAAGAGAAAGAUUGCUUCCUGAGUGGUAUAAUGAAAAAGGUAUAGAGUUGAUUCUUAGCA